GACGAACGCUGGCGGCGUGCCUAACACAUGCAAGUCGAGCGGGGAUUAUCGAAUGAAGUUUUCGGAUGGAUUUUGAUAAUUCUAGCGGCGGACGGGUGAGUAACGCGUGAGCAACCUGCCUUUCACAGGGGGAUAACGCAUCGAAAGGUGCACUAAUACCGCAUGAGACCACACUCCCGACAUGAGAGAGGGGUCAAAGGAGCAAUCCGGUGAGAGAUGGGCUCGCGUCUGAUUAGCUAGUUGGUGAGGUAACGGCCCACCAAGGCGACGAUCAGUAGCCGACCUGAGAGGGUGAUCGGCCACAUUGGAACUGAGAGACGGUCCAAACUCCUACGGGAGGCAGCAGUGGGGAAUAUUGGGCAAUGGGGGAAACCCUGACCCAGCAACGCCGCGUGAAGGAAGAAGGUUUUCGGAUCGUAAACUUCUAUCCUUGGUGAAAAUAGUGAUGGUAGCCAAGAAGGAAGCCCCGGCUA
rnacentral:rRNA from 1 species